rnacentral:lncRNA from 1 species
UGCAAGCCCAGUGCCAAAUGCCUCCACCCAAAUACCCGAGACGUUACUAAUUUGAUAAGAGUCUUUUUCCUGUUUUUUACUGGCCUGUGCAGUUUCUCAAGCUAUCUGUACUCCUUUCCCACGAAGAGCAAUUUCAGUGGCACAGAACGUGUCUGCAAAGCAGAAUGAAGGUGUAGUUGCAGCACAGGUGUUUUACACCUUCCAUGGCUCUUUGUUUAGAAACGUGCUUGAGUCUGAAAAUACACAACUGGAAAGUGAAACUCUCUGAUGCUGAGGUGCUUCUGGGUGGUGAUGCUCACCAUCAUUUUCCAUGCUGCCUUGUACCUCUGCCCAGUAAGUGGGAGAAAAGCUGGAAAAGAUAUCUUAAAGAUUUGUUCCUGACUAAUGUUUCCCAGCUGAGCUUGUGGAAAAGACCCAAACCACCCCAAACCACCUGGGGAAAAUGUAAAUGUUAA